AAUCAGGCAUUGGUUGAUGGCCCAUGCACGAAUGUAGUGAGGCAAGCACUGGCCUUCAAGCAUAUGUCGCUUACUGACUUGAAGAUCAAGGUGCCCCGAGGUGCUCGUAGUGGUGUCGUUAAAAGAGUCUUCGCUGAUGCUGAGGUGUCAGAGAAGUGGGAAAAAACGGCAUGGGCCAAAAAGUUAGCUGCUAGAAAGAAGAAGGCAUCAAUGACGGACUUUGAUAGAUUCAAGUUAAAGUUGGAGAAGCAAAGGGUGAGUGUGUUUCUAUUGGCCUUCCUCCCAUCGAGCACUUUCAUCCAGUUGAAUAUGGAAAGCAUUGCUGUAGUAACUUAUCAAUUAUAACUAAUUUAAGAAAAAUGUCAUUCCUUCCCAUUUAGAAAUCAAGAAUCUUGAAGGUCGAAGUGAAAAAGUUGAAAAAAGAAUCUAAAUAAGUUUUUUUUGUUGAAUGACAAAUAAAAUUGAUAACAUGCUGUAAUGUGUCUGUAUCUAUAAUCUUGUUUAUCACAUUGCUACUGCAAAAGAAAAGGUCAGAUGGUCUGCAGGAUCUGAAAUUUGUAGUAUUCCAAUAUCCACAGGAUACUAAAAUUUAGUUUUGGAUACCAAACUGUG